GGGGCCGUAGCUUAGUUGGGAGAGCGCCGCCUUUGCAAGGCGGAGGUCCGGGGUUCGAAUCGCGGCGGCUCCA
rnacentral:tRNA from 1 species